AACGAACGCUGGCGGCGUGGAUAAGACAUGCAAGUCGAACGGGAUUUUUUUCUGUAGCAAUACAGAGAAAAGUCUAGUGGCGAACGGGUGCGUAACACGUGAGCAACCUGCCGUGAAGUGGGGGAUAGCUCGCCGAAAGGCGAAUUAAUACCGCAUGUGGCCAAGGAAGACAUCUUCCUGACGCCAAAGCCGGGGCAACCUGGCGCUUCUCGAGGGGCUCGCGGCCUAUCAGCUUGUUGGUGAGGUAACGGCUCACCAAGGCUAUGACGGGUAGCUGGUGCGAGAGGACGACCAGCCACACUGGAACUGAGACACGGUCCAGACACCUACGGGUGGCAGCAGUCGAGAAUUUUUCACAAUGGGGGAAACCCUGAUGGAGCGACGCCGCGUGGAGGAUGAAGGUUUUCGGAUUGUAAACUCCUGUCAUUAGAGAACAAGGCACACGGUUUAACUGGCCGUGUGUUGAUAGUAUCUGAAGAGGAAGAGACGGCUAACUCUGUGCCAGCAGCCGCCGUAA
rnacentral:rRNA from 1 species